rnacentral:rRNA from 1 species
CCUACGGGAGGCUGCAGUGGGGAAUAUUGGACAAUGGGCGAAAGCCUGAUCCAGCCAUGCCGCGUGUGUGAAGAAGGUCUUCGGAUUGUAAAGCACUUUAAGUUGGGAGGAAGGGCAUUAACCUAAUACGUUAGUGUUUUGACGUUACCGAGCAGAAUAAGCACCGGCUAACUCUGUGCCAGCAGCCGCGGUAAUACAGAGGGUGCAAGCGUUAAUCGGAAUUACUGGGCGUAAAGCGCGCGUAGGUGGUUUGUUAAGUUGGAUGUGAAAGCCCCGGGCUCAACCUGGGAACUGCAUCCAAAACUGGCAAGCUAGAGUACGGUAGAGGGUGGUGGAAUUUCCUGUGUAGCGGUGAAAUGCGUAGAUAUAGGAAGGAACACCAGUGGCGAAGGCGACCACCUGGACUGAUACUGACACUGAGGUGCGAAAGCGUGGGGAGCAAACAGGAUUAGAUACCCCAGUAGUC